rnacentral:rRNA from 1 species
GCCUACGGGGCGCAGCAGUGAGGAAUAUUGGUCAAUAGGCGGAAGCCUGAACCAGCCAAGUCGCGUGAGGGAAUAAGGCCCUACGGGUCGUAAACCUCUUUUGCCGGGGAGCAAGGGCCGGGACGAGUCCCGGUCCGGAGAGUACCCGGAGAAAAAGCAUCGGCUAACUCCGUGCCAGCAGCCGCGGUAAUACGGAGGAUGCGAGCGUUAUCCGGAUUUAUUGGGUUUAAAGGGUGCGUAGGCGGGCUUUUAAGUCAGCGGUAAAAAUUCGGGGCUCAACCCCGUCCGGCCGCUGAAACUGGGGG